rnacentral:snoRNA from 1 species
AAUGAGGAUGGUGAUGGGUGCAAGAAAACAUAAUCUUACAUGUUGUGAAAGUUAGAAUACCGAUAAAUAUCAAAGCUGCUUU